UCUGGUGUCAGCCGCCGCGGUAAAACCAGCACCUCAAGUGGUCAGGAUGAUUAUUGGGCCUAAAGCAUCCGUAGCCGGCUCUGUAAGUUUUCGGUUAAAUCUGUACGCUCAACGUACAGGCUGCCGGGAAUACUGCAGAGCUAGGGAGUGGGAGAGGUAGACGGUACUCGGUAGGAAGGGGUAAAAUCCUUUGAUCUAUUGAUGACCACCUGUGGCGAAGGCGGUCUACCAGAACACGUCCGACGGUGAGGGAUGAAAGCUGGGGGAGCAAACCGGAUUAGAUACCCGGGUAGUCCCAGCUGUAAACUAUGCAAACUCAGUGAUGCAUUGGCUUGUGGCCAAUGCAGUGCUGCAGGGAAGCCGUUAAGUUUGCCGCCUGGGAAGUACGUACGCAAGUAUGAAACUUAAAGGAAUUGGCGGGGGAGCACCACAAGGGGUGAAGCCUGCGGUUCAAUUGGAGUCAACGCCAGAAAUCUUACCCGGAGAGACAGCAGAAUGAAGGUCAAGCUGAAGACUUUACCAGACAAGCU
rnacentral:rRNA from 2 species